UCAAUGUCACUGCAUGAAAUGCAUGAGUAUGAUUUUGAGAUGUUAAUUGAUGAGCCAUCAAUGUCCUCACGAUGGCCUGAAAGGAAACAGUUGUCAACAUUCUCAACAAGUCACUAUGAUGAUGAAAUGUCAGCUGAGCUAACUAAAGAAAGUGCAUACAGUCCUCACAGUAGUACUGCAGGACAGGGAGAAGUAAAAAGAUGCGAUAUUUUAUAACUUCUUAAUGGCAGUAAUACAAAUUUAAAUAAUUUUAGCUUAUUUUUUAUUUUUUGGUAUAAUUUUUAUUAAUAAUUAUUUUUUAAUUAAAGAAAGAAGUAUGUACAACUAAAUGAUUAAAACUCAUACAUGUGUGGUUUUAUGGUGUUAUUCAUUAUUAUUAACUUAUUAUUAUUCAUUAUUAAUUAGUUGGUCAUUUUUGUAUAAAAAGAGACAUUUCUGUUAGUUUUUGUGGGGACUACAAUUGUUAGAGUGCGGGAGUGAGAGCAUAUUGUAUUGUGGCCUUUUUGUCUCUCCAUUGCUCUUUUGAUUCCUGCAUCAUAAUUGAUUUGAUUUGUUUGAGAAAAGAGUUUGUUUUAUUGAAUGG